UCAUGAUCUCAGGGUUGCGGGAUCGAGCCUUGUGUCGGGCUCUACCCUCAGUGUGGAGUCUGCUUGAGAUUCUCUCUCUC